rnacentral:rRNA from 1 species
UGUACGAAAGCGUGGGUAGCAAACAGGAUUAGAUACCCUGGUAGUCCACGCCCUAAACGAUGUCAACUGGUUGUUGGGGGAGUGAAAUCCCUUAGUAACGAAGCUAACGCGUGAAGUUGACCGCCUGGGGAGUACGGUCGCAAGAUUAAAACUCAAAGGAAUUGACGGGGACCCGCACAAGCGGUGGAUGAUGUGGAUUAAUUCGAUGCAACGCGAAAAACCUUACCUACCCUUGACAUGUCCGGAAUCCUGCAGAGAUGCGGGAGUGCCCGAAAGGGAAUCGGAACACAGGUGCUGCAUGGCUGUCGUCAGCUCGUGUCGUGAGAUGUUGGGUUAAGUCCCGCAACGAGCGCAACCCUUAUCAUUAGUUGCUACGCAAGGGCACUCUAAUGAGACUGCCGGUGACAAACCGGAGGAAGGUGGGGAUGACGUCAAGUCCUCAUGGCCCUUAUGGGUAGGGCUUCACACGUCAUACAAUGGUCGGUACAGAGGGUUGCCAAGCCGCGAGGUGGAGCCAAUCCCAGAAAGCCGAUCGUAGUCCGGAUUGUUCUCUGCAACUCGAGAGCAUGAAGUCGGAAUCGCUAGUAAUCGCGGAUCAGCAUGUCGCGGUGAAUACGUUCCCGGGUCUUGUACACACCGCCCGUCACACCAUGGGAGUGGAAUCUGGCAGAAGUAGGUAGCCUAACCGCAAGGAGGGCGCUUACCACGCUGGGUUUCAUGACUGGGGUGAAGUCGUAACAAGGUAACC